UUGGCUCAGGGACGAACGCUGGCGGCGUGCCUAAUACAUGCAAGUCGAGCGAAUGGAUUAAGAGCUUGCUCUCAUGAAGUUAGCGGCGGACGGGUGAGUAACACGUGGGUAACCUGCCCAUAAGACUGGGAUAACUCCGGGAAACCGGGGCUAAUACCGGAUAACAUUUUGAACUGCAUGGUUCGAAAUUGAAAGGCGGCUUCGGCUGUCACUUAUGGAUGGACCCGCGUCGCAUUAGCUAGUUGGUGAGGUAACGGCUCACCAAGGCAACGAUGCGUAGCCGACCUGAGAGGGUGAUCGGCCACACUGGGACUGAGACACGGCCCAGACUCCUACGGGA
rnacentral:rRNA from 1 species